AAGGAAGUGAUGCAUAAUUUUCAAGCUGACAACAAUGAUGGUUGUUGUAUUCAUACUGUCUGAUCCAU